CUCGAAAAUUAGCUAAACUCGGCUAAAAUCGCCUCUUUCGGCAUAAAAAUGUACAUAACAAGGUGAAUAAUCCAAGUUGUCUUUACUUUGGAUAUAUUAAUGGAUGGAUUAAUUGUGAUUCUUCAAUGAUUUCGCCGUCAUUGCCUUUAAUGAUUUCGUCGUCAUUCAGAGACAUCAAGGAGAACGAAUGUUUGCUGCUUCACUCGACGGGAUCCAAUACAUGUAUUUUAAAAAUAUGACAUUUUCUUUAACUGUAAGAAGCUCAUGGGUGGAUGGAUGAAUACAUUAAUAAAUGAAUGCAUCUGA